rnacentral:RNase_P_RNA from 1 species
AUGGUAGAAUGCGUUAUCGCUUUUCUCGGUAUAGAGAAGGGAGGAAAGUCCGGACAGGAAAGGGCGCUGCGCUGCUGAAAAGCAGAUGUUUGUGAGAGUAUGGAAAUGUAACAGAAAAUAACCGCCCUGAUUAUUCGGGGUAAGGGUGAAAAGGUGAGGUAAGAGCUUACCGCGUUUUGUGGCGACACAUCCGGCCGUACAACCCGCAGCCUGCAAGACCAUGUACAUCGGCGUUAAGAGUUGCUCGCUCGUGUCGAGGGGUAGGUCGCACUUUCUGUUUAAAACGCAGAAGAAAGAUAAAUGAUAACGAUUCCGUCAAAGGAAUACAGAAUCCGGCUUACAGUUCUACCAGAAAA